GCGCAGCAGUCGCGAAACCUCCGCAAUACGCGAAAGCGUGACGGGGUCAUCCCGAGUGCCGUCCGCUGAGGAUGGCUUUUCCCCAGUGUAGACAGCUGGGGGGAAUAAGGAGAGGGCAAGUCGGGUGUCAGCCGCCGCGGUAAUACCCGCUCUCUGAGUGGUGGGGACGCUUAUUGGGCCUAAAGCAUCCGUAGCUGGCUGGGCAAGUCCCCUGUUAAAUCCAACGAUUCAAUCGUUGGACUGCGGGGGAUACUGUCCGGCUAGGGGGCGGGAGAGGCCGACGGUAUUUCCGGGGUAGGGGUGAAAUCCUAUAAUCCCGGGAGGACCACCAGUGGCGAAGGCUGUCGGCUAGAACGCGCCCGACGGUGAGGGAUGAAAGCUGGGGGAGCGAACCGGAUUAGAUACCCCCGUAGUCC
rnacentral:rRNA from 1 species